rnacentral:tRNA from 2 species
GCCAGCGUAGCUCAAUGGCAGAGCACCUGAUUUGUAAUCAGGUGGUUGUGGGUUCGAUCCCCACCGCUGGCUCCA